GGAUGUGAGGGCGAUCUGGCUGCAACAUGUCACCCCAUUGAUCGCCAGGGUUGAUUCGGCCGAUCUGGCUGGGUAGGCGGGUGUCCCCUUCCUCCUUUACCACUCUAUGUGUGUCCCUCCCAAAGCAGCGUGCUUGGUCGAAGAGGAUGACCAUCCCCAAUAGAGGGGGACCGGUCUUCUGGCAAGGGUAUACGAGUAGCUGCGCUCCCCUGCUAGAACCUCCAAACAAGCUUUCAAAAUAAUGUAGAAGAGUGACAAUAUUUAUUAAUAUGUAUUUAAUAAAGAUGUUUUGAUUAAAAAUGAUAAUAUGUUAAUUUCU
ensembl:misc_RNA 7SK 7SK RNA